UACGUAGGGCGCAAGCGUUGUCCGGAAUUAUUGGGCGUAAAGAGCUCGUAGGCGGUCUGUCGCGUCUGCUGUGAAAACGCGAGGCUCAACCUCGCGCCUGCAGUGGGUACGGGCAGACUAGAGUGCGGUAGGGGAGAUUGGAAUUCCUGGUGUAGCGGUGGAAUGCGCAGAUAUCAGGAGGAACACCGAUGGCGAAGGCAGAUCUCUGGGCCGUAACUGACGCUGAGGAGCGAAAGCAUGGGGAGCGAACAGG
rnacentral:rRNA from 1 species